ACUGACGGACGGUAAAGGAAGGCAUGGUGUGUGUGUGAGAGAGAGUUUUACAUCAAUGGCCAGCAAAUCUAUGUACCAAUAGAUUUACAGUGGAGAUCUUUUAUCCAUCUGAGAAAGUAGCCCUUCAUCAUGGAUUUUGUCUUUCUUAGCUAGCUUAGCUAUAGGUCAUGUACCAUUGCCACUAGUCCAUUCAUCAUUCAGCUCAAAUUCAUAUAUAAAUCAUACAAUUCGUGGGUCAUGAAAGUUGAAACACCAAAGUGCAGGGGCACCACAGAGAGAGAGAGGCAAGCAGUGCUUGGUGGAGAAAGUUAAGAAAUUCGUGAAAGUUAUGGAAGGUGGCAGUUCAAACAUUUUCGCAGCUACGAAAACACCGGACUUGGAGGUGCUACGUAAGCAGCUUGAGGAGAAAAGUGCAAAGAUUGAAGAGCUCAAGAAACAAAUUGAGGAAACUAAGCAUCUUCUGGAAAAUAAGAAGAAGAAAGCUCCGAAUCAGGACCAAAUGGAAGCUUUCAAGAAGUUGUGCGAGAAAUAUAAUGGCAUAAGAGAGGAAUAUAAUGCAUUGUUGGCCGAGAAGUCAAGGAAACAAGAGACUAACAAUCCUAUCUAGUCUCAAAAUUGCUGCUAUAUAUAGACGACUUAGCUAGCAAGCUAGCUAGCAAAAAUACUAGUAUGCUUUAUUAGUAAUUAUCAUAUGCUUUCUUUUAAAAAGGAGAGGUGGAAGUUAUGUGGG